rnacentral:rRNA from 1 species
AGUGGCUAACGGCUGAGUAAUACACAGGUAACCUACCCCUAAGUGAGGAAUAACUCGCCGAAAGGCGAGCUAAUACCGCAUAUAAUUCCGUAAAUAAAAGCCUUGCUUGGGGAGGGGCCUAUGUCCUAUCAGGUAGUUGGUAGGGUAAUAGCCUACCAAGCCAGAGACAGGUAGCUGGUCUAAGAGGACGGUCAGCCAGACGGGGAAUGAGAGACGGCCCCGACUCCUACGGGAGGCAGCAGCAAGGGAUAUUGCGCAAUGGGCGAAAGCCUGACGCAGCAAUGCCGCGUGGGGGAAGAAGGCCUUCGGGUUGUAAACCUCUUUUCUUGGUGAAGAGGGACGGUAAUCAAGGAAUAAGCCUCGGCUAACUACGUGCCAGCAGCCGCGGUAAUACGUAGGAGGCGAGCGUUAUCCGGAAUCAUUGGGCGUAAAGCGCGUGUAGGCGGCCCCUUAAGUUGGCUGUGAAAUCUCCCGGCUCAACCGGGAGAGGUCGGCCAAAAC